AAACCCUAAAACGGCACCUACUCUCUGAAUAUCACCUCCUAUUGAUUCCUAAGCCUAUUUUGAUCAUUGGCUGAUUUUGGUUAUAAAAUUUCUGGGUUUUCGUUAUUGAACCGUUCUUAAUCCGUUCCAAGAGACCCGUCGGCUGCUCGUGCUUUGGAGUCUACGCAGGGUUGGCUGUUUGCCAAGAUUCACGUGGAUAAGCAAGCAGUGAGUUUAUAUCGCUAUUUACCGCUUUAUUAAGUAAAUUGUAUUUUGUAUAUAUGUAUAUAUUGUAUAAACAGAUUUCGAACUGUU